CAUGGUUAAAGUCCAGGAAUAUUACAAAAUUCUUGGACAUGUUUUGACCAUUUAAUACCAGAUAGAUAUAUAGUUCUUUGAGAAAAUAUGAGCUCUUUUAUACAAACAAAUAUAUUAUAACUUAUAUUGAUCCCUCAUAAAACAUGUAAAAGGGAUAUUUAUAACAUUAAGGGGUUGCCCCCAAACUGAUUAUGACUUGAAUGGAGAAUUGUCUCAUUGUCAGUCACACACACAUAGACCAGAUGUAACUAUUUCUUGGUGAACAGGGAAAAAAUACAUCAGAAAUUAAAGAAAUGUCAACGUACAAGUGAUAAAUCAAGUUUUAAUAUUGUCAAAAUCUACUUUUUAAUGUUUACAAAAAAAAAUUAUAAUCGCUCGCCUUUACUUUUCAAGCUUCGCCUCAAAAAUUUGCAAAUUAAAUAUUUUUUAUUAAAAUUUUCAAAUCGCUCGCUCGCCCCAUAUUUUGGAGUCCAAAAAUCCGUAGAACAAGAAAUUAAAUUGGUGUGGCCUUAUUCU
rnacentral:lncRNA from 1 species